GCAACAUUCAGCAAUGGAGAGCCCAGAGGUUGUGGUUUUGAUGGACUCAACUAAACCCAGACAUUUCUUUUUGGAAGAAAACAACCCAAACAUGAGGGAAGAGCAUCAAGACAACAAAUGAGACACAACAAAGUUUCUCAG